rnacentral:rRNA from 1 species
GCCUAGUCCUAAACCAAAGCAGCCUAAUACCCCACCGCUCGCCAGGGUACUACAAGCUCCGGCUUGAAAUCCAAAGGACUUGGCGGUGCUUCACACCCAUCUAGAGGAGCCUGUUCUAGAAUCGACAAUACCCGCUUAACCUCACCCUCUCUUGUUCUUUCCCGCCUAUAUACCGCCGUCGUCAGCUCACCCUGUGAAGGCUCAGCAGUAGGCUCAAUCGGCAUAGCCCAAAACGCCAGGUCAAGGUGUAGCGUAUGAGGGGGGACAGCAAUGGGCUACAUUUACUGAUUCAGUAAAUUACGGAUUAUGCUCUGAAAGAGGCAUAUGAAGGCGGAUUUAGUAGUAAGGAGAGAGCAGAGUGCUCUCCUGAAAAUGGCACUGAAGCGCGCACAUACCGCCCGUCACCCUCCCCGAACGACCAAUAAUGCUUAUAUUUAAUACAAGUCUGUCCCAGAGGGGAGGCAAGUCGUAACAUGGUAAGCGUACCGGAAGGUGUGCUUGGAAAAACC